rnacentral:rRNA from 1 species
UACAGAGGGUGCGAGCGUUAAUCGGAAUUACUGGGCGUAAAGCGUGCGUAGACGGUAGCGUAAGUCAGAUGUGAAAGCCCCGGGCUCAACCUGGGAAUUGCAUUUGAGACUGCUCUGCUCGGGUGCGGAAGAGGGAAGCGGAAUUUCCGGUGUAGCGGUGGAAAUGCGUAGAUAUCGGAAGGAACACCAGUGGCGAAAGCGGACUUCUGGUCCG